rnacentral:lncRNA from 1 species
UAACAGGGGUCCCCAAACUUUAAGACUUGUGGACUUCAACUCCCAGAGUUCUCCGGCCAGCUACGCUUGUGGACUUCAACUCCCAGAGUUCUCCAGCCAGCUACGCUUGUGGACUCCCAGAGUUCUCCGGCCAGCUACGCUUGUGGACUUCAACUCCCAGAAUUCUCCAGAGAGCUACACUUGUGGACUCCCAGAGUUCUCCAGCCAGCUACGCUUGUGGACUUCAACUCCCAGAGUUCUCCAGACAGCUACGCUUGUGGACUUCAACUCCCAGAAUUCUCCAGAGAGCUACACUUGUGGACUCCCAGAGUUCUCCAGCCAGCUACGCUUGUGGACUUCAACUCCCAGAGUCCUCCAGACAGCUACGCUUGGUAACUUUAAGGCUUGUGGACUUCAACUCUCAGAAGUUGAAGAGAGUUGAAGUCCACAGGUCUUAAAGUUGCCAAGUUUCGGGACCCCAGUUAUGUACCAUAUCGAACUUCACAUCCUUGGGAAUGGAAUUGGUGAAGAGCUUCGGUUUCUUGUGCUGCUUAAAUUCCAAAUAUUCUCAAGUCGGUUAGAAACGGGAGUUUCCAUCCGCGGAUGGCUCCGAUCUACCGGUUUCACCCUUCGGCCAACAGCUACCCCUAGUGGCUCUGUUGCGGGAAGCAACUUAUCUUGCGUAUGUAAACCUCGCCGCCCGUUUCGCCGCGGUCAACAGGUUUAACCGGCGAGGUAACUCCGAGACGAGGUCACCAACUGAGCGUUAACUCCUUUGGUUCCGGAUAACGAGCGGCAAUCCUUCCACGACCACGUGGACGACGUACCAGAACCCGAAGGCCAAAAGGAAAGGCCCUCCGUUUCCCAAAGCGGAGAAAGACCGAGCCCAGGGUCCAAAGCAACACAAGUUCUCCUUCCCUAUGAAGAAGCUUCCCAAUGAUUUUGCCAGAAAAAUUAGACUUACAACGUGAAAGUUGCUUAUCUCAAGUCAGAUUAUUCGUCCAGCUCCCUCCUGUCUACCACAGGAAUGAGCAACCCCAGCAAAAUUGGUGCUCCUUGACCUACUUUCAAAUGGGUUCUGCAAGCCAGCGAUUCCAAAUACCCAGGAAAAGCUUGUUUUCCACAAGUAACAGAGAAGAGCAUAUAGUAAGAAGAGUUCCAGAAGAGGGAGGGGGAAGAGCACCAGAGGUAUUUUUGGCUUCAGUGUGACCUACCUUGCAUCUUCCUGUAAAAGAAAUGUGACCCUUAGAACAGUUGUGCACUUUUGUGCACCAACCCUAACUUAACCCAUCCUCAACUAGUACUGACAAUAAUAAUUCAGGGUUUCUCAGACCUGUCCAAAAAUGACGAGGACUGAAUCUGAAACCUCAGCAUAGAAAGGAUGUAUGCUAUCACACAAUUAUGUAAAGACCUUUGAAGCAUGCUGGAACAAUAGCCUUCCAAAUCCUAGGAAGAUAAUUUCAUUGGUGAAGAUAGUAGAACCUCCAAAUGAAUGGCUACAAGAAAAAUAAGAUCAUCAACUUCUUUUGAACAAACACAUUUUUUCAAAGGCUCCCAAUAGAGGCUGAUUGAUACAAUUGUAAACAAUAAUGGCUUUGCCCAAAAUCUGGAAGCCAUUUCAUUUGCUAAUAUAGCAUUUAUAUUCUGCCUUUUUGUAAAUUUCCCUCAUCCUUUCCAAAAUGCAUGAGAUAAGUAGAGAGGCCUAUUUAUUGAUUUACAAAUAAGGCAUCCAGUCCAAUAUCCAGGACUGAGAGACAAUGACAGGCCUCACUUGAUCCAAUUUCAACUUUCAAUAUCUUAGCCAAUACCAAUGUUUUCUUCCUCAAGGCUAUGGCUUCAAUAUCUUAGCCACUACAUCACUCCAUUGGUUUUGUUCAUUUCAAAGCCAAGUGUGGAAACAUUAAAUUAUCAAUUUAUUUUAUCUACAGUAAACUCCGAUACUCAUAAUAACAAAAAUCCCCAGAUUUUGUAACCUGGGGGAAUGUGGUACAGGAUGAUGUAUUAGGCAAAAAAACACAAAUAAAUCUAUGUGCUGGCAUAAAGCCACCACAGGUUUGGUAGCCAUGAACCAGCAACCUAGAUUAUGUUGGCUACAGUUUGAACACUAGGUUACAACAGUAGAAUUCACAGAUCAUGUGAAACCAUGAGUCCUGUUUUAUAAAUCAUAAAGCCUGGGUUAGUCUUUUAGGUCAAAACCAAGGCAAUUAUGUUUCAGAAUAGUGCAUUGUGUUAAGCUAUUCC